UGCUGCAUGGCUGUCGUCAGCUCGUGUCGUGAGAUGUCGGUUAAGUCCGCUAACGAGCGCAACCCUCACUGUGUGUUAUAUGUGUCACACGGGACCGCCGGUCUUAAAGCCGGAGGAAGGUGGGGAUGACGUCAAGUCAGCAUGGCCUUUAUAUCCUGGGCUACACACACGCUACAAUGGCCAACACAAUAGGUUGCUAAGCCGCGAGGUGGAGCCAAUCCAUAAAGUUGGUCUCAGUUCAGAUUGUAGGCUGCAACCCGCCUGCAUGAAGAUGGAGUUGCUAGUAACCGCAGGUCAGCUAUACUGCGGUGAAUACGUUCCCGGGGCUU
rnacentral:rRNA from 1 species